AACGCUGGCGGCGUGCUUAACACAUGCAAGUCGAACGGAACUUAUCGAAGCUUGCUUUGAGAAAGUUUAGUGGCGGACUGGUGAGUAACGCGUGAGCAAUCUGCCUUUAAGAGAGGGAUAACAUACUGAAAAGCGUGCUAAUACCUCAUAAAGUAUAAGUGUGGCAUCGCAUAUAUACCAAAGGAGCAAUCCGCUUAAAGAUGAGCUCGCGUCUGAUUAGGUAGUUGGUGAGGUAACGGCCCACCAAGCCGACGAUCAGUAGCCGGACUGAGAGGUUGAACGGCCACAUUGGGACUGAGAUACGGCCCAGACUCCUACGGGAGGCAGCAGUGGGGGAUAUUGCACAAUGGAGGAAACUCUGAUGCAGCAACGCCGCGUGAAGGAUGAAGGCCUUCGGGUUGUAAACUUCUGUCCUUGGUGACGAAGAUAGUGACGGUAGCCGAGGAGGAAGCCACGGCUAACUACGUGCCAGCAGCCGCGGUAAUACGUAGGUGGCAAGCGUUGUCCGGAAUUACUGGGUGUAAAGGGUGCGUAGGCGGCUUGUAAAGUCAGAUGUGAAAUCCUGUGGCUUAACCACAGAACUGCAUUUGAAACUUACGAGCUUGAGUGAAGUAGAGGUAAGCGGAAUUCCUAGUGUAGCGGUGAAAUGCGUAGAUAUUAGGAGGAACACCAGUGGCGAAGGCGGCUUACUGGGCUUUAACUGACGCUGAGGCACGAAAGCAUGGGGAGCAAACAGGAUUAGAUACCCUGGUAGUCCAUGCUGUAAACGAUGGAUACUAGGUGUGAGGGGUACUGACCCCCCCUCGUGCCGCAGG
rnacentral:rRNA from 1 species